GGGCAGCUUGCCUUGUGGUUCACCGAACCAGAAAAAAUGGUCAGCUAAUUGAACAAUACAAAAACCAAACCACAAGCAUUGAAGGAACUACAAAACAUCCACUGGGAAGUUUCUUUUCUGUAGCUUGUUGUUUUCUUGGUUAAAGCAAGUAUGCAUAAUUCUCUGCUUAAAAAGUAAAAACCCUUCUCUCCUUACUUUUAUGAUCCCUUAUUUCCUCUAAAAUUCACACCCAAAAUAUAGCCUUUUUGUUGCUUUCUUUCUGGGUUUUGUUUGACUUGUGAGAAACUGUUCCCAUUUCCCAAAUCCAUUCGCUGUUGUUGGAUCACUUCUUGAGGCAAUGCCAGCAUGAUUGUUUGCUCUGCUAUCAAUACAUGUGUGAAGAAUGUUGUCCACCUGAGUGGCCGUGUUCAACAAAUGGGCAGCACUAUUUUGAAUGUGGUGUCUAGGGGACAAUCCACUUCCCGCUGUUUUUCUUUGUACCCUAGUCGUUCCAGAUCAAAUUAUUCUCGUUUGUCUGUCUCAAAGACAUUCUCUUGUCCAUCAAUUAGCUUUCACACGUUGCAUAGAAACUGUUUUGGAUCCGACUCAAUCAAGCAAAGGUAUAAUUUGGUAUCAUUAACUGUAAAAGGUGUAGUUAAUUCUGGAGGUCCUCUGAAGAGACAAUUCAAUAUUUCAUUGCCAAGCCAAAACAUGGCUCUGAGGUUUUCAGUUUCGAAACGAGGACUGCUCGCCAAAAUCAAGGGUAAUGUGGGAUCUGUUUCUUGUUCACAAAGACAUACCACCACUGGUAUAUUUUUUGGUCUUCUGGUUUGUUAUUCAAGUUCUGAGCCAACACAUGCUGAAUCAGCUACUCGGAAGAACAAAGAAGAGGACAUUUGCAAUUCAUCAGAUAUUAAAUUCUCACAUGGGAAGGAAGUCUACACUGACUAUUCCAUUAUUGGAGUACCAGGAGAUGGUAGAUGUCUGUUCCGUUCCGUGGCUCAUGGGGCUUGUUUACGGUUUGGGAAACGAGCUCCAAGUGAAAGCCUUCAGAGAGAAUUAGCAGAUGACUUGCGUUCUAAAGUUGCUGAUGAGUUUAUCAAGAGAAGGGAAGAUACAGAAUGGUUUAUAGAAGGCAAUUUUGACUCCUAUGUGUCACAAAUGAGGAAGCCACAUGUGUGGGGUGGUGAGCCUGAGUUGUUAAUGGCUUCACAUGUUCUCAAGUAAGGACCUCUCUCUCGAUGUGUUCAUCUCUUAUCAGGAAAAACAGAAGCUGUGCAUGGGGAAGAAAAGAUGCCAAUCACUGUGUACAUGCACGACAAGAAUGCGAGGGGCUUGAUAUCCAUUGCAGAGUAUGGUCAGGAGUAUGGGGUGGAAAAUCCAAUUAGAGUUAUAUAUAAUGGAUUUGGUCAUUAUGAUGCCUUGCAAUUUUCCUGGAACCAGAGGCGGUAAAUCAAAACUUUAGCUGUGCUUUUUAACUGAAACUGGAAUGAAAAUCAUGAUAUAUGAAUGCAAUUGUAUCGUUUUAUGUUA